UAGCAAGUGUCUUCAAUUCACAGACGCAUACAAAUGCACAAGCAAGUAAUAGAGGUGUUAAUCAUAGAGUGAGGUUCUCAAAAAGCAAGUAAUUGUACCUGUUUGUGAAAACCCCAAUCUCUUCGUUGCCAAUCCUGAAGCGUUUGCAGAAACCAGAAGAUCGAACCGAUCUGAACCUGAAGCGUUUGGGGAUGAGAAGAUACAAAGAUUAAGAUAUAAUUUUUUGCAGAAACGAGAAGAGACGCAACAGAUCCGAACCUGAAGCGUUUGCAGAAACGAGAUGAAACCAAAGUGGAGAUCGAACCUG
rnacentral:lncRNA from 1 species